AUACGGAGGGUGCAAGCGUUAUCCGGAAUCAUUGGGUUUAAAGGGUCCGCAGGCGGAUUAAUAAGUCAGUGGUGAAAUCCUCUCGCUCAACGAGAGAACUGCCAUUGAAACUGUUAGUCUUGAAUUCGGUCGAAGUAGGCGGAAUGUGUCAUGUAGCGGUGAAAUGCAUAGAUAUGACACAGAACACCGAUAGCGAAGGCAGCUUACUAGACCUGGAUUGACGCUCAUGGACGAAAGCGUGGGGAGCGAACAGGAUUAGAUACCCGGGUAGUCC
rnacentral:rRNA from 1 species